UACGGGAGGCAGCAGUGGGGAAUAUUGCACAAUGGGCGCAAGCCUGAUGCAGCCAUGCCGCGUGUAUGAAGAAGGCCUUCGGGUUGUAAAGUACUUUCAGCGGGGAGGAAGGGAGUAAAGUUAAUACCUUUGCUCAUUGACGUUACCCGCAGAAGAAGCACCGGCUAACUCCGUGCCAGCAGCCGCGGUAAUACGGAGGGUGCAAGCGUUAAUCGGAAUUACUGGGCGUAAAGCGCACGCAGGCGGUUUGUUAAGUCAGAUGUGAAAUCCCCGGGCUCAACCUGGGAACUGCAUCUGAUACUGGCAAGCUUGAGUCUCGUAGAGGGGGUAGAAUUCCAGGUGUAGCGGUGAAAUGCGUAGAGAUCUGGAGGAAUACCGGUGGCGAAGGCGGCCCCUGGGACGAAGACUGACGCUCAGGGUGCGAAAGCGUGGGGAGCAAACGAGGAUUAGGAUACC
rnacentral:rRNA from 1 species